AUGGCAAAUGAAUUCACAACCUCAGAUCAUUACCAAAAUACCAAACUCAUCGAACAACCAAAAAAAAAAAAAGCCACUCCAAAUGUAGCCUCUGCAAAAGUGGAAUUUUCAUUCAAACCUUGUAAGACUGCAAAAAUCUAUAGCUGAGUCAAUAAAAAUGUAGCUUGAUAUACCAAAAAAAAAAGAGGGAAGUUGGCUCACAAAAAGUAAGUACAAUAAAUUCUUGGUGGAAAAUUCUCUGUUGAGGCAAUCUCUAAUAUACUACUGCUAGCUAUGAAUUUCCAGAAAAGAUUACAUCCCAUUUUCAGCACAUUUUUUCAUAAACAUGCAACUCACUAUAAAAUACAAAACACUUGUCUCUCAAGAACAGCUUUAUAAAGACACACUGCAUCAAUAAAAUUUUUCUGAUUAACUUUACACUGUAUCAAGAACUGUAAUGUCACUAAUGUUUAUAUAUCAGAUUUCAUAUAUCGUAGUAAUAAUUUGCAUUUUCAAACAUAAUGUUCAGGAGGAAAUAUCUACACACAUUAACAUACUAGACUAUUAAAAACUCAUUCAGUUACAGAAUUUUAUUGAUACAGUAGAUUAAUAAAAACUGAAAGGGAAAGAUGAACGGGGAAGGGGUUCAGUACAUUAUUUAAUAGGACACAAUUUUAAAAUUAAAAUAUUUUCAACCUUGUCUUCUCGAAUUUUCAACGCCACUAGAAAACCAGAAAAUUCUGGCACCGAUACUGAGGUGUAUGAUAAUUUGGACAAUUGGAGGACCGUUUCACAAGUUGCACCUGUGAUAAUCACCCUAUCGGAUAUCCCUGGGCUGUCAGACCGGAGCAAUCCCGGACCUCUGAAGACGAGGGGAGUCCAGGAGUAAAUGCUAGACUAGAUACACAACGAAGGAACAGACCUCGACUUUCCAACCGACUGUGGCAACAGAAAAUGCCACUCUUUGCCUGACUGAUAUUUCUUUCACAGUAAAAUGCCGAGAAG
rnacentral:lncRNA from 1 species